CAAUAGCGUAUAUUAAAGUUGUUGCAGUUAAAAAGCUCGUAGUUGAAUUUUUGCUUGCCGCCGAUGUCGGAACUUCCGUACGUUCGGCGGCGUGCAUCCUUGGGUGGAACCUGUGUGGCAUUAGGUUGUCGUGCAGGGGAUGCUCAUCGUUUACUGUGAAAAAAUUAGAGUGUUCAAAGCAGGCUUACGCCGUUGAAUAUAUUAGCAUGGAAUAAUAAGAUAGGACCUUGGCACUAUUUUGUUGGUUUGCGCACCGAGGUAAUGAUUAACAGGGACAGUUGGGGGUAUUCGUAUUCCAUUGUCAGAGGUGAAAUUCUUGGAUUUCUGGAAGACGAACUACUGCGAAAGCAUUUACCAAGGAUGUUUUCAUUAA
rnacentral:rRNA from 1 species